UACGGAAGGGCAGCAGUGGGGAAUAUUGCACAAUGGGCGCAAGCCUGAUGCAGCCAUGCCGCGUGUAUGAAGAAGGCCUUCGGGUUGUAAAGUACUUUCAGUCGUGAGGAAGGUGUUAAGGUUAAUAACCUUAGCAAUUGACGUUAGCGACAGAAGAAGCACCGGCUAACUCCGUGCCAGCAGCCGCGGUAAUACGGAGGGUGCGAGCGUUAAUCGGAAUUACUGGGCGUAAAGGGCACGCAGGCGGUUAAUUAAGUUGGAUGUGAAAUCCCCGGGCUUAACCUGGGAAUGGCAUUCAAGACUGGUUAGCUAGAGUCUUGUAGAGGGGGUAGAAUUCCAUGUGUAGCGGUGAAAUGCGUAGAGAUGUGGAGGAAUACCGGUGGCGAAGGCGGCCCCUGGACAAAGACUGACGCUCAUGUGCGAAAGCGUGGGGAGCAAACAGGGAUUAGAUACC
rnacentral:rRNA from 1 species